CAACAGAGGGAUGCAAAACCGCGAGGUGGAGCGAACCCCUAAAAGCCGUCCCAGUUCAGAUUGCAGUCUGCAACUCGACUGCAUGAAGUCGGAAUCGCUAGUAAUCGCGGAUCAGCAUGCCGCGGUGAGUACGUUCCCGGGCCUUGUACACACCGCCCGUCACACCAUGAGAGUCGGGAACACCCGAAGUCCGUAGCCUAACCGCAAGGGGGGCGCGGCCGAAGGUGGGUUCGAUAAUUGGGGUGAAGUCGUAACAAGGUACC
rnacentral:rRNA from 1 species